ACUUUCUCGACGUUCAUGACACGCAUGAUAUGCACAUGUAUGUAUUUAAACUUUGUCAAGAAUUCAAUCGUAAAAGUUGGUCAUACUGAUACUACGUUAGAAAAUAUCAGAAAAGUGAAAAUGGCAGUUGAAUGUGGUAUACGUAUUUUAUUUUAUAUAAUUUUCUCUAUUUUCCUGUUAAAUUCAUGCGACGGUGCAGCGACAGAUAUUGAGUUAGAUGCUAAAGCUCAAUUAUUACAUAGACUUGAUAGUUUAAAUCUCCUUCUUUAUACAUUUUUGUUAAUAUUAACUGUAUUAACUAUAUGGACAUUCAAGCAUCGUCGACUAAGAUUCCUCCAUGAAACUGGUCUAGCUGUCAUUUAUGGGUUGAUCAUAGGAGCUAUCAUUCGUUAUGGAUUUACAACAAAUAGUGCUAUACUGCAUAUGCCAGUUGUACCAGAUAACAGUAGUAAAUAUAAUCAAUCAGUUCCUCCAGAUACAUUAUGGUUGCGUUUUCCUGAAGACAAAGGUGGCGGUGUAAUUAAAAAUGAAACAUUUGCUUAUACUUUUCGUGGAGAAAUUUAUAAAGAGGACAAUGAGAUUGAUUUGAAGGCUACUUUCGAUCCGGAAAUAUUCUUUAAUAUUAUACUGCCACCAAUAAUUUUUCAUGCUGGAUAUAGUUUGAAAAGGAAAUAUUUCUUUAGGAAUUUAGGAGCAAUUUUAAUGUAUGCUUUACUUGGAACAUCAAUAUCAGCAUUUGUCAUUGGAGCAUUGAUGUAUGCCUUCGUACAAUUAAUACCACAUCUUUCUACAUCAUUUACAUUUUUGGAUACUUUAUACUUUGGUGCUCUGAUAUCUCCGACAGAUCCGCUGACAAUAAUUUCUAUUUUUAACGAUCUGCAUGUAGAUGUUAACUUAUAUGCUUUAGUAUUUGGAGAAAGUGUACUUAACGAUGCAGUUGCUAUUGUUCUCAGUGGUUCAAUACAAAAUUAUGGUGAACGUUACCAAUCUGGAUCUGGGGGAUUCGAAACGGUAGCAUUCUUUCAAGCAUUUGGCGAUUUUGUUUGUAUUUUUAGUUUAUCCUUAUUCAUUGGUGCCACUAUGGGAUGUAUUACUGCAUUGUUAACCAAAUUUACUAGAGUUAGAGAUUUUCCACUUUUAGAAUCGGCUCUAUUUGUCUUAAUGUCUUAUAGCACAUUUUUAAUUGCUGAAGCUUCAGAUCUUACAGGUGUGGUCGCCGUUUUAUUUUGUGGCAUUUGCCAAGCACAUUAUACGUAUAAUAAUUUAAGCCCAGAUUCUCGUCAACGGACAAAACAUCUCUUUGAAUUAUUAAAUUUCUUAGCUGAAAAUUUUAUAUUCAGUUAUAUAGGCGUUUCGAUGUUUACCUUUCCAAAACAUCACUUUGAUCCAGGCUUCAUCUUUGCUGGCUUUCUUUGUGCUCUGUUAGGACGUGCUGCAAAUGUUUAUCCAUUAUCAUUCAUAUUGAAUUUAGCAAGAAAACCAAAAAUUUCAAUGAAUUAUCAACACAUGCUUUUCUUCGCCGGUUUACGCGGAGCCAUGAGUUUUGCUCUUGCAAUUAGAAAUACUGUAUCAGGUGCUAGACAAGCCAUGUUAACUACGACAAGUUUAAUUGUGAUCUUGACAGUAAUUUUACAAGGUGGUGCAACGACUCAAUUUUUAAGUUGGUUUAAUAUACCUGUCGGUGUAGAUGAAGAAAUAGAAGGUUUAUCACAAAAUGGAGUACGUAGUGUGUACAAUUCACUGGACACCAUGGAGUCUGGUGGCGAAGGUGGCUUUGGCGAUCUGGACAUGCGUAGGGAAAGAAGUCCUCCGUAUAAUUCUAUGCAGGAUGGAUCAGUGCCAACCGGUGCAAAACCUAAUGAGAAAGCAUUGCUCGCUAGAAUAUGGGGUGAUUUUGACACACGAUAUAUGAAACCACUAUUAACACACUCCAGGCCUACCUUGUUAGAAACAUUACCAGUGUGUUGUGGUCCGUUAGCAAGGAUUCUUACAACGACACAACAAAUGACACAGGAUGAUGUUUCAAGAAAAAUUGAUUCAGAUUCUGACUUUUGUCUGGAAGAUCGUGAAAUGGAAAGAAGAAGGACAAACGUACAGCCGAGAAAAAGAAAUCAUGAUGAUGAUGAUGAUGAUGAUGAUGAUGAUGAUGAUGAUGAUGAUGAUGAUGAUGAUGAUGAGGAUGAUGAUGAUGAAGACUUAAGAAUCAUCGGAAUGGAAGGAUUUAUUCCGUUACGAACAUUAUAACAGCAAAGAAGCCAAUCAAAUAAUAAUUUUUUGAUCAGUUAAAUUUCAAGUGAUUUGCAAUGUGCAAUUCAGAAAAAACAAACAUAUGGCGUCCAACACACAAUACACAUUAAUGAAUAUGUUUUUUAAAUCUUCUGUCCUUGAUAAUAUUUAUUUGUGCGAUUAAAUACACCUAUAUUAUUAAGCAUUAGGUAAUGUCUGGUUUGUACAUAUUAUAUAUUUGAUUUAGUCCUCUAUGUUCGUAAGUGCAAUUAUGUGAAAUAUAAUAAAAAUGAAUUAUUUUAUUUUCCAUAAUAUAAUAAUUUUAAUAUGUUAGUAAGUAUAAUAACUUAUUGACCAUUUAGGCUUAAUUGCACAAUAAAUUGAUUGACGAUAAUCAACAAAAUGAAAACAACUAGACAUUAUCUUACCAUUGAUAAUGAAAAUUUGUUAUUAAAUUUCUUUAAACAAACGUUAAUAGAACAAUUAUUAUACUUUUUUUGUAAAUACAAUCCUUUACACUUCACGUUCGCUCUGUUGAAUGUGAAAAUGAUUAUGCUGAUGUAUGUGGCCAAUGUAUAAUAUUAAAUAAUUAAUAAGAAUUUCAAGUAAAUUCUUGAUGUAUUUAAUACUUUGCGGAACAGCUGGGAACAGUGACAGGAGAAGUUAGUCCGGGACCACUACCACUGCACACACGCGUCGCCCUGCCAGGUUUGAUCGGCAGACAUUUAUAAAAAUUACAUAAUAUUGAAAAUUACUUUAAUCUCUUGCUAAUAUGUAUUAUUGAAUAUGCGACGGAGAAAUAUGUUAUUUUAAUGAAUCCAUAAUGCUUAAACGAUAGGAAAGUUCUAAUGAUUGCCAAAAACACUGCUUAUGUCCAGUCAAAUUUUUGUUGGAGAAAUUUUUAACUUAUAUUAAAACUAUUUCCUAAAAUGAUAUAUAAUAAAAAAAAAAAAAAAUAUAUAUAUAUAUAUAUAUAUUAGAAUAAAACUGUAAUAAAAAAAAAAGAAACUGGCAUAAACGUUAUUCCUAAUACACCAUUUGUGUAUCAAUUCAUUUUAAUUAUUCAGUGGAGGUCCUGGUAUACUUUUAUUAUUAUAUAAAAAUCUUUUGCAUAUAUGUAAUAAUAUUCUAUAAUCUUAUCUGUUUAAUAUAAAAGCAUUAAAAUGUGUCUAGAUGUGAAAUUAAAUCUAAGUUUUUUAUAAAAUUACCAUUCAGCAAAUUGAUUUUGCUGUUAAAAAGAUGAUCAUUUUUCUAUGUCGAGUGCAGGGCAUUCUACAUAACAAGAUACACAGUAAAUACCUUUUACAUUAUAAUUUGUUUAUUAUAUAUGAUACAUUUUAUACAUAUAAGAUUAUGAUAGAUAAAUUCGUUCUCCGACUUGAAACAAUGUUAGAAAAAGAAAAGCAUUAGUUAAAAGUGUAGGAAUAUCAUUUGUAAAAUGUAUCAAUUUUUGAUCUGCAUAUUUAAGCUAAUACAUUAGAGUUGUGAACA